GCGAGAUUAGUUUAGUGGUUAGAACACCUAUCUUACACGUAGGAGGCAGUAGUUCAAUUCUACUAUCACGUA